CAAGGGAACCUAGAAUUUAGCUUCGGCACCUAUCCCCUGUGACCCUGCAAAUAUCUAGUCAAAACCUAAUGUAACAGUUUUAAAAGAAGUCAGGUUCCUAACUUCCUUAGAACUUGCUGAACUCUUUCUCUUUUGGUUGGAAGCAUAGAACUACCGUAUCCUUUAUUUUCUCAUUUCCUGGUGAUUAUCAGAUUUAUGGAAUUAGGGAACAUUAUUCAUAAAGACGAUACAGGUGAUUGCACCUUCGUGCUUACUAAAUUUAUUGGCUGGAGCUUCUCAGACACUUUGAAGAUUGAAAUGCCUUUUUUUCCCUUUUGGGUUGGGUUUUUUUAUGCUGACAAUUCCUUGUCGGAGACAUUCCAUAUUUUCUAAUUAUUCUGAUUGGCACUGACAACUAUAACUUCUAAUCUUUGUUGUUUUCUAAAGCUUGACUAUGAAUAUUACAUGUAUGUGAAUAAUAUUGAUUUUUCACAUCAUGACGAGGAAUCUCUUAAAUGAGCCAUGCUCUUUGAAUAGGAAUAAAAUAUGUUGUUUUCAGUUCUUCACACUUUAUGGGCCUUAUUUUACUUAUAUGAUAGCCUCUUUCAUAUGUUUUGCAAUUACCUUUUUUAUUACAUCUAUUAGUGAGUAUGCACCGGGUAUGUUGUUGUUGUUAGUGUGUAUGCAUCUAGAAAGCAAGCUGAAGAGCUAGAUAUAGAACCUUGGUGACAUGUCUUGCCUCAAGACUGUUAAUUCUUGAUUGUCGUGCUCAUACUGGAGCCAAUUUGCACAACUACUAAGAAAUCAAACUAGUGAACUCUCAAAGAAGUCACUCUAUGCAACUUGGUAUGACAAGAUAAAACCAAGUAUGUUGUGGCAGAAAGCUUAAAAACUAGAAAUAACAAGCAGCCAGAAAUUAGUGGAAAGUUAUUAGGAGACCUUUUAAAGAACUUCAAUACUCUGGUAAUGUUCAAAGUUCAAACUUAAAAUCUGAAGGUGUAAUCUGUUACUGCAUUUUGAUUAGGUCAUGAAAUUUUUGCAAGUGUUGCAACCGUAACGUGUUAACAACAACAACAACAACCGUAACGUGUUACGUGGACAAAAUAGCUGCAAGCUUUUCAACUAACAUUGUUGUUGAGGGACUCGUUCCUAGAAUGUGGUGGAUAAGUGUUAGCAAUGAACAGUAAUAGUUACUCAGUGCUUAUACAAUCCUAUUUGUAGAGAGAGAGGGGGAGAGAAGAAGAAUUCACAUAGUAUCGCCUAUGUUGAGAUUCGAGCCUUGGUUCCCAAGGUCAUUACUCUUCUCUUCGACUUCUGGGCUAUCCCGUUGAAGGUGUUUAUGGCAUAUGGCUAUUACGGGACAUUUAUUCCUCUAGAGAGUAGAGACAUAGUUAUCUUAUCAAAAACAAUUCCUCCAGAGACAUAAUGUUAAUAGUUCUGAGCUAAUAACCUCCUCCACAUGUAUUCCACCAUUGUUUUUGCUGAAAUUAUAGGCUGAUGAUCCUCAGAUUACUUUGAGGUUUGAAGUCCUUUCUUUCCUUUUGGGUUAAACAAUUGGACAGUCUUUAGAGUCUUCAUAGAAUAGUAGUCAGCGUGAAAUAGCAUUAGAUGUCUGGGCAACAAUUAAUGUAUUGGUCCAUUAUGAUAAAACUAUCAAAUGAACCUUGCUCCUAGCAUAGGAAUAAUUUAAUUUAUGUUUUCUUUGUAAGUAAAAUUGGCAAGACAUGGUGAUGCUUCAGAUUACCGAUGACAUGAUCCUUGAUAGAAAGGUUUUGGAGGUCAAGGAUUAGCGUAGAAGGUUAGGUGGUCGAGUGGUUUUUCUUGGUCUCACUAGUAGCAUUAGUACAUACUCUCGUCUUGUUUUUAGUCUUAGGUUUCUAUUAUUGCCUGGUGUUGCUUUUGUUUUGGUUAUCUUACUAUCUUGCUGUUUUCAAUGCUUCUUUUCCAUGGCUCCUCAUUAUUGUUUCUGCCUGUUUUCUUUUCAUUAUUGUUGUGAUUAUGCUUCACUGAGCCGAGGGUCUAUUGAAACAACCUCUUUAUCUCCACAAGAUAGGGGUAAGGUCUGCGUACACACUACCCUCCCCAGAACCCACUACGUGAGAUUAUACUGUGUUUGUUGUUGUUGUUGUUUGUAAGUAAAAUUGAAUCAAACCAAACUGUUAAGUGUGAACACCUUGUCUGAAGUUGUUUAAUUUUUCUAACUUAAAAGAAGUUCCAACCAAUUACUGUAAUCUCUACUUUUUUUGUAUUUGUCUGCAAUAACUAUCUGUACCCUCUAACCAAAUAAUUAUUGUAAUCUUCUCUUUAUUUAUCUUCAAUUAAUGUAAUCUUCUAUUAUUCAGAAGUAGUAAAAUGCAUUUAUACUAAGUGAACGCUUCAUCACAUCUCACUUUCGGGUUGGUUAUAAAUGGUGAAAAAAUCAUAUCCUAACACAUGUGUUUAGUUUUUUUCAUAUCGGUCAAUCUCGUUCCUUUUUCUUUCUUGGAUGCUAGAUGGUGGUCCGUCUCAUCGAAUGAUAAUCUUUCAUGUUAUAUGUAAGGAGAAUCACAAACCUGACAAAUAUGUGUGACCAUCUCUAAAAGAAAGAAUACAGUAUUUCCUGGUGUUUAGAUAGAUUUUUGUCAUUUCAUUUACAAAAGAAUGCCUGUAUGUGAAAAAUAUGUCUUAUCGCUUUCUUGAAAAAGACACAUUUGUCAGGCUUGUGAUUCUCCUCUAAUAGCAUGGAAAAUAUUAUCAACUGGUGAGUGGACCUCCAUUCAUCUGAGUUGGAAAACGGAAUGGGUCAUUGAUCGGGUACUUCUCCGGCGCUGGAGCUGGAGCACUUUCACUGAUUUUCAAGAUUUCAGUGAUGUUUUUGAGUUGGUGAAAUUGUUUUUUUCCUCAGAACCCCAGAUUGAUUAACCCUUUGAGUGAUUCUUAUCCUGUUCUAUGAGUUUUUUUUUUGUGUGUGUGUGUGUGGGGAUGCGUACAGAUUUUGGAACCUUAUUAACUACUUCAAUAUAAUUACCAAAUUUAUAAUCCAAAUUUGCUUUUAGAAGAAGCUAGGAAGAUUUUGAUAAUGUAAUUUCUGGAAAUUGUUCUUUUAUUGACUGUUAUGAUGUAUGUAUCUAUAAAUUCAAACUCUAGAAGAUUAAGUUAGCUUACUAGUGCAUCCACGAAACCAUAGAUUGAAUUAUUUUACCGAUUACUAGUAAGCUCUAUUGCAGGAAAAGGAUAUGUUUCUAAAACUCGACGAUAGGAUUGCUUGGUAAAUGAUUUCAUACUCAUCUUUGAUAAAAUUUGUUCUUGUUACUGGCCUGCUAUUUUUGAGCUUCUGUUUCUUAACAUGUUUAUGUCAGUAUUAUCCUAUUCUGUUUUUUGUUACUUGCAGACUUUGGGUUUCCUUCAGCACUUCCACAUACGGAUGGCUCAUUUGAAGGAGAAACUCCUGAAACGAGAGCCCAUCCAAAUGUAAAACCUGUCUGGAUACGUCCUGCUAUUCUAGAUUCAUAAAUGUUUGAGGAGAAUUGGCUACUUUGGAAUUAUCUUUGGUAUAUCUAAGGAACAGAUUGCAUGCUGAUGAUAUAUCUGAACAAAGUGGGAGAAUGGAGACUCGUAAUCCUGAAGCAUUAUCAGGUUUUGGUGCACAAGGUAAUUCCACCUUUACUAUUGGCUGAAGCUUCUCAGACCACUUUGAGGUAUGAAAUCCCUUUGUUUUGAAUUCGUGUUUCCCUCUGUCAUUCUCGUUUUAGACUCUAAAUGAUGCUAGACCUUGUCUCUGUCAACAAUAAAGACAUGCCGUUGCCUCAUUAGGAUAAAACGCUUAAAUGAACCUUGUUGCUCUUAGUAUAGGAAUGAUCUAAGUUGCUACUUCAGUACAAUAAAACUCUUAAAUGAACCUUGUUUCUCUUAGUAUGGGAAUAAUCUAGGUUGCUUUCAGUAAUGCACACCUUAUUUCACCUACUUUUUAGACCCUCUCGGUGUGUAAUGUAAAAGUAUUAUUAGAUAUAUUUAUAAGCUAAUGAGUAUGCAUCUGAAAGGCUCGCUGAAGUGCUAGAAAUAAAUGUUCAGUGACGCUUUUUCUACUCAAGAGUCAAGAGUGUAACUCUUAAUUCUCAGAACUCUUAUUGGAGCCACUUCGUAGAACAAACUACGAAGAAUUGAAAAUACUAAAUCUAUCGAAGAAAUAAUUCCUAUGCAACUUGGUAUAAUAAGUUGGAAAGCAAAACCAAGCAUGCUGCGGCAGCAAUAGUUACAAACCUGAAAUAACUGUCAAAAAGUAUUGGAAAGCUAUAGGAGAGCUUCAAUAUCUUGGUAAUGAUCUAACUUAAAGUUUGAACAUGUGAUUUAUAUCAGAAUUUGUGGGGCAUGAUAUAUUUUGAGGGUUGCAUGCAUUUCAACUUAAUUUAAUUCUUGCUGAGGAACUGUCAAGUAAAUCUGCUUGUUCUCCACACUUUUGUUCCCAUAGGUUGGUAUUGGCCUUCAAAGGGCAGAUCCAAUUCGUAAACAACACCAGCCUUGAACUAUUAGUGCAGCAGUUAUAUUUCCAUCAUUCUGAAAUCAAGCUGGUUGAUAAUAGUAGAAUGACGCCUUUAUAUAUUUUCCUUCAGUAGAAAGAAUUAUCUGCAUUAGGAAAGGAGUUCAGUUUAGUGCUCAUGCAAUACUGCAUGCCAUUGGAAAUUUUCUUGUUUCUACUUUCUUUGGUACUUUCAAUGUUACAGGGAUUGCCGCCUCCUGAGCCUAGUAUAUUCCAUGUCUUCGACUAAUCAUUUCCCCCCAGGUAUCCUUCUGUUUUUUUUAGUUUUAUGUACGUGUUAUUGAAACGAAUUGGCAGGAUAUCGAAAACCUGUGAGGGUAAAGUCAAGCUAAUAUAUAGGAUGACUGCGGCUGAAUGGAGCUGUGGUGGUUUGUGUGUUUGUAGUUUGCUUUCAUAUUAGGUCAGCAAAUUGAUCAGGUCUCUGAGCUCAAGAGGCGACUAAAAUCGACUAUUUGAAUCCUUAUUGUCCAUGUCGCUUGAUUUAACCCCAUCUUACUCUGAUAUUAUGUUCAAGAAUUUGUUGUAAUGCUUAAAUAAUGAGUGGAAGAUUGGAUAUUCAAGUAA